GUUAUUCAUAAGAAUUUCUGCUGCUCUGAACUAAGGAAGAAGAUGCCUGUUAAUUUCUCCAAGCCAGUGGUUUGAAAUGUACAAAAGAAAAUGAUGGAGGAAAUAUGAAUGUUAGUGAUAAUUAUGCCAAAAAAUGCAGUGAUAUGGCUACAUCAGACAAUUGUGAUGACAAAAUUAGUGAACUGUGUGAACCAUCUGUAAGUUUACUGGACGUAUCAGUUGCAAAGAAAACAAAAAAAGCCUGCAAAUAUGUUGAAGAAUAUCUUAAACUGGGAUUUUCGUGGACUGGAGAUGAGGAGAUGAUAUGUGUGAUUUGUUACGAGACCCUCACAAAUGAAAGUAUGAAACCAUCCAACCUAAACCAUUUCAAUAGCAAACAAAGAAUAUGAGGGAAAACCUGUAGAAUUCUUCGAAAAUAGGCGCAAAGAUGUCCCAAAGUCCCAGAAAACAAUUCGUAAUGUGACAGGAGGUGAAAAUCUGAAAGCUUUGGAACCUUUGUAUAGCGUGGCAUAUUUAAUUGCAUAGUCUGGAGCUGCUGAAGUGACUGGCGAGACAUUAGUAAAACCUGCAGCCAAAGUAAUGGUACAAGUGAUGAUUGGAGACAAGGCUAGCAAAGCUAUAGAUUGUGUCCCCCCUCUCAAAUAACACUGUUCAUCGUAGAAUCACAGAUAUGGCCGAAAACAUAAAGCAGCAAUUAUUGUCAAGUGUACAAAAGAGUCGGUACCAUGCACAGCAAGCGGAUGAAUCCACUGAUGUGGAUUUAGCUAAUCUUUUGUUGUUUGUCAGAUAUGAGCUGAAUAAUGAAGUCCACAAUAAUAUUUUGUUCUGACAACCUAUACCAACACAUACAACUGGAGAAGCUAUUUUUAAAGUUAUUGAUGACUUUAUCAAAAAUAAUGACUUGGAUUGGAGUCGUUGUGUUGGAAUAAGCACAGAUGGCGCCAGAGCCAUGAUUGGUUCAAAGAAAGGAGUUGUUGCAUGUAUUCGAGCUGUUGCGGCAGAAGCAAAAUCGUCUCCUUGUUACCUUCACAAGGAAGCACUUGCCACUCAGAACAUGCAGGCAGAUCUAAAGCAAGUACUGGAUGAAGCUGUGAAAAUAAUCAGUUUUGUGAAAGGCCGCCCUCUGAACGCCUAUGCAAACUAGCAUAUAUUUGCAGAUAUCUUUGCUCAUUUAAACAACCUCAAUCUAUCCUUGCAAGGGAAACUCAUAUCCAUAUUCCAUGUUCAAGACAAAGUGAGCGCCAUGGUCGCAAAAUCGAAACUGUGGCAUAAAUGUCUUAGUGGUUGUGAACUGGAUUCCUUUCCAUCUCUUCAUGACUUAGUAAUAAACUUGACUAAUGAACUUGAUAGUGAUGUGUUGCAAAUCAUGAAGCAGCAUCUGGAAAGCUUGCAGAAAGAUCUUCGUAAGUAUUUCCCUGAACCGGAAGGCACCUUUGAAUGAAUAAGGAACCCUUUUAUCAUCAAUGUUCAAACAUUGCCAAAUAACCUCUCUGCUUCAGAAGAAGAACAGUUCUUGGAGCUGGCUUCAGAUAGCUUCCUGAAAACAAAAUUUGAGCAAAAUACACUGAUGUCAUUUUGGUUGGGGUUAGCUCUGAAUAUCCAGCUCUAUCGGACAAAGCUGUCAAGUAUCUUCUGCCUUUUCCCACAUUGUAUUUGUGUGAGAUCGGAUUCUCCGCGCUGGUUGGCAUCAAAACAAAAAAAACGAAACCAUCUUAUUGACGUGGAGCCCCAUCUUCGUCUUAAGAUCACAAACAUCGAUCCAGAUAUCCUCGCGAUGGUGUCUGGUCAAAAGCAGUUCCAUCCCUCACACUGAGUACUCUGGUUUGUACUGAAGAUUUUUCAAUACCAAAAUAGUGGUUGCACUUCAGGUGUGGGUAUCUCUAAUUAAGGCUGGGUUCAGUCUUCAUUUAGAGCAGGAAAAAAGCGUUUCAUCAUCUCCAGAUUUACAGCACAUAAUCUAGGAAUAAAGACUAAUUUUCUGAAGAUUUUCAA